rnacentral:rRNA from 1 species
UUCGAUUCUGGCUCAGAAUCAACGCUGGCGGCGUGCCUAACACAUGCAAGUCGCACGAGAAAGGGAGCAAUCCCGAGUAAGUGGCGUACGGGUGAGUAACACGUGACUAACCUACCCUUGAGUGGGGAAUAACUGGGGGAAACUCUAGCUAAUACCGCAUAACACCUACGGGUCAAAGGAGCAAUUCGCUCGAGGAGGGGGUCGCGGCCGAUUAGUUAGUUGGCGGGGUAAUGGCCCACCAAGACGAUGAUCGGUAUCCGGCCUGAGAGGGCGCACGGACACACUGGAACUGAAACACGGUCCAGACUCCUACGGGAGGCAGCAGUGGGGAAUUUUGCGCAAAUGGGGGAAACCCUGACGCAGCAACGCCGCGUGGAGGAUGAAGUCCUUCGGGACGUAAACUCCUUUCGAUCGGGACGAUAAUGACGGUACCGGAAGGAGAAGCCCCGGCUAACUUCGUGCCAGCCGCCGC